GGCUGCAAACCUGGUCUAUGACCUAUGAGGCAAGCCCAGAAUUUAGCAUGGAUUUUUCUCUGGAUUAGAGGGAGAGAUUCCUAAUCCAUACUUGAUUGUUAAAAUGGGACCUAGGCUGCAUUGAGUCAUCCACAUCAUCUCACACAGUCUCCUUACAAGUGAAGUGAUUCUCUGAAGUUGCAGUAAAGACAAGGUGAAAUGUCUAGUCUUGUAGUUACCACUAGGUUGGAGGCUCAGAUAACUGGCCCUGUUCUCAGUCUAGUUCUCCCACAUUCAUCAUCUAGAAGAGAUGGGAGAUCUCUUUUGAUAAAGAGCACUUCAUCCCAGCCACCACCAUCUACAAUUGAUGACCAACUGCCACCAGUGAGGCAGCACCUAAAGAUUGGAUCAUUCCAAUUGCUCUGAAGCUGAAACCUACUACAUGUCAUCUCCCUCUAUGAGAAUGUAAGCUCUUUAAAAAGGCACUGUCUUCAUUUUCUAUUUGCACUUCUAGCACAAAGUAAAUACUUAUUGGGAGUGCUUGAUUUGUUCCUGUUUAUAAUGUUAUUAAAAUGGAGUAUCAUAGGUUUUGUGUAUGAUAUGGUCUGUAAUGUUUAUAAUCUGCCUAAUACUGAACUAAUCCUAGAUUCCUGGUGCCAAACCAACUUGGUCAGAGUAUAUAAUCUCUUCACCAAUAUUGUAUUCAAUAAUUCUGUACCAAUGUCUAUUAGGAACAGUGGUCUAUAGUUUUUAUUUUUCCAGGUUUUUUUUUUGUCUCCUUGGUUGAAAUAAGAGGGCCAGAUUUGUCUAAGAGAAGGAAUUUGGUAGGAUCCCUACUUUGCCUAUUUUUUGCAAACAUUUUAUAUAAUAUCGGAUUCCAUUCUUUCAAGGGUUGAUAGAAUUCACUCAAAUUUAAUGCAUCAUUUUCCCCCUUUCUUUUGCAUUCCUGUGUUUUAGUUUCUUCAUCUAAGGAUGGGUUAUUCAAAUUCUCUCUUUUUCUAUCAAUGUGAGCAUUUUAAUAUGUUUAUGAAUA